AACCUGCCGGCUCCCAUCCCACAACGUAGAGCUACUUCCGGUGGGGCUCCGUCACUCAAAUGGAGAAGAACCAGCACCAACAUGGGAGGCUUCCCAUGUUACAUAAGGAUCAACAGGAGAAGCCGGGCAGCAGAGGCUCGUGUGAUAAGAGAGGCAGGAAGCAAGAGCUUCCAUGGGAAUGGCGUGGUUUCAUCUCCUGGGUUUCUUUUCAGACGAGUGUGACUUAUCUAUGCCAGGGAUGCAACCUAAUUGUGGAUAAUAAAGAACUAGAAAACACAGAUACCGUAGAAUGACUUAUUUUGGAACAGACAUGCAGAAACUAAUAAGCAAUCUCAAGGUAAAAGACUCGAGGGAGCUGGCCUCAAAUCUAUUUCUUCUUUUAUCAAUUCUCAUGAUGUCACCCCACUAAUUAAUCUAAAAAAUGAUAUUUCUAAGAAAAUUAUGACUCCGUGGUAAAGAUGAAAAGAGAAUUUGACGCAUAUUCUUAUGAUAAGAGAAAAAGUGAGGGCAUCUGAUACCAGAGAGACAACUCUUUUCAAGACUCUGUAUUUCUCAUUUCUAUAAUUUUCUAUAGCUUCGUAAAACCUCUUCGCAAGAAUUCUAGCAAUUUCACACUGUAAAAUGUAGUUGCUUCAAAACUUCUCUUGUACAUAUAGCUAAUCUAUCAAGAUUCUAAUUUUUAUGAAUGCAUUGGAAGGAAUGCAUAGCCAUUUCAGUAAAUAUGGCACACAGAAAGCCUUGGUGCAAUUGUGGGAUUAGGUGAAACUUUGCAGUAUUCUCUAUGUACCAUGUGUCUUGCUCCUGCACA
rnacentral:lncRNA from 1 species